rnacentral:rRNA from 1 species
UACGAAGGGGGCUAGCGUUGCUCGGAAUCACUGGGCGUAAAGCGCACGUAGGCGGAUUGUUAAGUCAGGGGUGAAAUCCUGGAGCUCAACUCCAGAACUGCCUUUGAUACUGGCGAUCUCGAGUCCGGGAGAGGUGCGUGGAACUGCGAGUGUAGAGGUGAAAUUCGUAGAUAUUCGCAAGAACACCAGUGGCGAAGGCGGCUCACUGGCCCGGUACUGACGCUGAGGUGCGAAAGCGUGGGGAGCAAACAGG